AUUUGGCUAUGGUGGGUCCUGGGAGGGAAGCUGCAUCUGCAAAGUACUCUGAUUGGGUAAGAUUAAGCAUGCCCAGCAUCUUACACCUGGGACUGCAGACUGGUUUGGUGAACUAGGGGUUAUUGCUUCAGUACAGAAUUUGGAAAUAUCUUGUCUUGAAAAGAAUUUGGAUAUGAGACUCGGUGUAGUCACCAAAGAAACUAAACCUGGUCUAACUGGUUGUUGAGAUCAUCUGCACUUUGGUCAGGAAAUUAUUUCCUAAUCCUAAUAGUGCUGUUAUAAUGGCCAUGGGUGUUAACAUCUUGGCAAAGAGAUUGAAAUGGUAAGCUAAUCCAUAUUGCAUUUUUUUUUUUAUACUUUUGGGUAUAAACUUAUAUAUGGCUCUUUCCACCAGCACGUUUCUUAUGAGAAGAUUUUGUAUUCUUCUCUGUAUCAAUUUGUAUGCUGACUUGAAAAGUAAAAUAAAAAAAUUGUAUAAUUGUGUAAUGACCUCUAUCGUUAUGCUUUUUUCUUUCUUUCUUUUUCAACUGUCCUUUGUUUAUUGAUAUUUAUUUUAUUCUUCACUUUAUGCCAUCUGAAAUUUGUACUUAUUUUGUUAAUUUAGUUGUGCAUUGCUUACAUUGAUACCAUUUUGGUAAAUAUGCAGGAAGGAUGCUUUCUCUUCAAUCUUGUGAUAUUUGUGAUUGUAGAGUUAUUUUGACUGGAUUUGGGUAGUAUUCGGUGCUUUGCUUCUGUUGUGUUAUUAUUGUGAUUGUUUCUUUUUUAAAGAUCACAUGAAUGUUUUUGUUCAUCCUGGUUUUUUCUUCACCCUGUUGAGGACAUUUGUUUGUUUCCUUUUUGAUUGCAGUUCCCAUAGUAUCUUUUAUUUGAUAAUUUCUCUAGUCCAAUAACCAAUUUCAUGAACCUUAAUAUUGCUGUCUUAUUGGGUGUUCAGUGUAUUAUUAUGCAAGAUUC